rnacentral:sRNA from 1 species
AGCAGCCGCGGUAAUUCCAGCUCCAAUAGCGUAUAUUAAAGUUGUUGCAGUUAAAAAGCUCGUAGUUGAAUUUCGAGGUCAAAUUGUCGGUCGUGCCUCGGUACGUACUGGCAUUAUUGAUUUCUCCCUUCUGACGAUCCGCGAUGUCAUUAAUUUGGUGUCGUGGGGAAUCAGGACUGUUACUUUGAAAAAAUUAGAGUGUUUAAAGCAGGCUCACGCUUGAAUACAUUAGCAUGGAAUAAUGAAAUAGGACGUUUGAUUCUAUUUUGUUGGUUUCUAGGAUCAACGUAAUGAUUAAUAGGGAUAGUUGGGGGCAUUAGUAUUCAAUUGUCAGAGGUGAAAUUCUUGGAUUUAUUGAAGACUAACUACUGCGAAAGCAUUUGCCAAGGAUGUUUUCAUUAAUCAAGAACGAAAGUUAGGGGAUCGAAGACGAUCAGAUACCGUCGUAGUCUUAACCAUAAACUAUGCCGACUAGGGAUCGGAUGAUGUUAAUUUUUUAAUGACUCAUUCGGCGU